GUGAAACCGCGAAUGGCUCAUUAAAUCACACCUAAUCUACUGGAUAGUACAAGUUACUUGGAUAACUGCGGUAAUUCUGGAGCUAAUACAUGCACAAAGCCUCGAACUUACGUGAGAGGCGCUUUUAUUAGAUCAAAACCAAUCGGCUUCGGCUGUAUUCUUGGUGACUCUGAAUAACUUUGGGCUGAUCGCAUAGCCUUGCGCUGGCGACAUAUCCUUCGAAGGUGUGCCCUAUCAACUGUCGACUGUGGCAUAGACGCCCACAGUGGUUUUGACGGGUAACGGGGAAUCAGGGUUCGAUUCCGGAGAGGGAGCCUUAAAAACGGCUACCACAUCUAAGGAAGGCAGCAGGCACGCAAAUUACCCAAUGACCGAAGGUCGAGGUAGUGACGAAAAAUAACGAUACAGGACUCAUCCGAGGCCCUGUAAUCGGAAUGAGUACACUUUAAAACCGUCCCCGAGGAUCUAUUGGAGGGCAAGUCUGGUGCCAGCAGCCGCGGUAAUUCCAGCUCCAAUAGCGUAUAUUAAAGUUGUUGUGGUUAAAAAGCUCGUAGUUGGAUCUCGGCAGUCUGAGGGCGGUUUGCUUGCUAGUAUUACUGCCCUAUAGACUGUAGUUUUGCCAGAGGUUUCAGGGUGCUCUUAAUCGAGUGUCUUGGGAUGCUGGCAGGUUUACUUUGAAAAAAUUAGAGUGCUCAAAGCAGGCUAUUACGCCUGAAUAUUCGUGCAUGGAAUAAUAGAAUAGGAAGUCGUUUCUAUUUUGUUGGUUUUCGGAAAUCGACUUAAUGAUUAAUAGGGACAGUCGGGGGCAUUUGUAUUCAAACGACAGAGGUGAAAUUCUUGGACCGUUUGAAGACAAACUACUGCGAAAGCAUUUGCCAAGAAUGUUUUCAUUAAUCAAGAACGAAAG
rnacentral:rRNA from 1 species